UGGGGAAUAUUGGACAAUGGGCGCAAGCCUGAUCCAGCCAUGCCGCGUGAGUGAUGAAGGCCUUAGGGUUGUAAAGCUCUUUCAACGGUGAAGAUAAUGACGGUAACCGUAGAAGAAGCCCCGGCUAACUUCGUGCCAGCAGCCGCGGUAAUACGAAGGGGGCUAGCGUUGUUCGGAAUUACUGGGCGUAAAGCGCGCGUAGGCGGAUUGAUCAGUUAGGGGUGAAAUCCCAGGGCUCAACCCUGGAACUGCCUCUAAUACUGUCAGUCUAGAGUUCGAGAGAGGUGAGUGGAAUUCCGAGUGUAGAGGUGAAAUUCGUAGAUAUUCGGAGGAACACCAGUGGCGAAGGCGGCUCACUGGCUCGAUACUGACGCUGAGGUGCGAAAGUGUGGGGAGCAAACAGGAUUAGAUACCCCCGUAGUCC
rnacentral:rRNA from 1 species